rnacentral:lncRNA from 9 species
AUGACUUCCUGCUCAGAGUUACUGAUAAUAUUUUUUGGAAUGCUGAAUAUGUGCCCAGUCCUGUGCUGGUCCCUUUGCAUAUUAUCUCACCUGUAUAAUGUGCCAGGAAGAUGGGCGGAAGCUCUUUCUCAAGCCUCUCCUAACUCCAGGCACCAGGAUGCUGACAUGCCACCAGAGGAAAGUGUGGCCUUGGGGAAUGUGAUUUUCUCUGCCUGCUCUUUUUAUCUUCACCAUCAGCAGCCUGGCUUCCUUGGCAUGGACGCAAGCAUGGUCAUCAAGAUUUCCCAGGUUUCCUGUCCUACAGCUUUCACCACUAUCGACAGACUGCAGAUGUUUCUCGGUUAUAGACCGAAAAGUCCCAGAGAAGAAUGCUGAUUGGCUCCUCCUCAACCACUUGCCCAAUCCUGGAGCUUCCCAGUGUUGCCAGGAGAGCAGAGAUUGUCAGAAAAGUUGAAAUCAUGGCUCUAUCUAUUCUGAAUGCCCUAAUCAGAUAGGAACAAAGGGGGAGAUGGAGAUUUUCUACCCUGACCUGGAUUGGAGUUACACAGGCAACUGCUUUGCAAUUACUUGUUAAUCUAUGCAUUUAUAUUGUAAACAUUUUUCAGUAUGAAUGCUCUAUUUCACGACAGUUGUUUAUUUUUCUUUAAGUUCAGUUCUGGAUCUAAAUGAAAAAACAAAAGUUAUCCAUAAAAAAUAUCCAAUUUUGCUCCUUAAAAAUGAUGUCUUGGGGCGGGGGCGAGGGGGCGCUGCCUCAACUCUGCACCUCCAUUUUUUCCUUUGGUGACAGCAAGUUGAUCAUAGCCCCCAUCGGGCUUGUCCCAAGGAAUAGCUGAGAAAGUGCCUAACAGAGGAUCUUUUAAGUUUUUAAAUAUAUGUAUGUAUGUAUAUUAUAUGCAUAUUAAUACACAGCUGUAGAAGAUGAAAAUAUAAGUCAUUGACAUCAAGGAAAGGAGAGGGAAACGAAUUCUGAAUCAUGUUCCUUAACAGCCCUCUUUUCUUAUUUCUCUAAAAGGGCAGAGGGAGCAGGGGAGGGACUUGGACUCAAGACGAUAUCAUUCAAAUUAACUAAUUUGACAGGAGGAGGAUCCUAAUAACCAGCAAACCCCCAGAUUUCCCAAAGAAGAGCCACCAGGUAGUGUGGGAGUCCCCUGGUAUAUUUGGGAGCCCCAGUGGAAUACAGAGGACUUGAAGAACUCUUUAAUUCCCCUCUCCUUCUGGCCUGAAGAAAAUGAGUCCAGGCUUGGAGAACAGACUUGUGGUUGCCAAGGGGGAGAGGGAGGGAAUGGGAUAGACUGGGAAUCUGGGGUUAACAGAUGCAAACUAUUGCUUUUGGAAUGGACAAGCAAUGAGAUCCUGCCACGUAGCACUGAGAACUGUAUCUGGUGAUGGAACAGGAUGGAGGAUGAUGUGAGAAAAAGAAUGUGUAUGUGUAUGUGUGACCGGGUCACUUUGCUGUCCAGGAGCAAAUUGACAGAACACUGUAAACCAACUAUAAUGGAAAAAAUAAAAAUCAUUAAAAAGAAAGAAAG